UACGUAGGUGGCAAGCGUUGUCCGGAAUUAUUGGGCGUAAAGCGCGCGCAGGCGGUCCUUUAAGUCUGAUGUGAAAGCCCCGGGCUCAACCUGGGAAUUGCAUUGGAAACUAGCGGGCUGGAGUGUGGCAGAGGGGGGUGGAAUUCCACGUGUAGCAGUGAAAUGCGUAGAGAUGUGGAGGAACACCGAUGGCGAAGGCAGCCCCCUGGGCUAACACUGACGCUCAUGCACGAAAGCGUGGGGAGCAAACAGG
rnacentral:rRNA from 1 species